rnacentral:rRNA from 1 species
AACGAACGCUGGCGGCGUGCCUAACACAUGCAAGUCGUGCGAGAAAGUUCCUUCGGGAGCGAGUAAAGCGGCGCACGGGUGAGUAACACGUAGGUAACCUGCCCCCCAGUCUGGAACAACUAGAGGAAACUCUAGCUAAUGCCGGAUGAGACCACGAUCCCUUCGGGGGUUGCGGCCAAAGAUGGCCUCUACUUGUAAGCUAUCGCUGAGGGAUGGGCCUGCGGGCCAUUAGCUUGUUGGUGAGGUAACGGCUCACCAAGGCUGUGAUGGCUAGCUGGUCUGAGAGGAUGACCAGCCACACUGGGACUGAGACACGGCCCAGACUCCUACGGGAGGCAGCAGUGGGGAGUAUUGCGCAAUGGGCGAAAGCCUGACGCAGCGACGCCGCGUGGGUGAUGAAGGCCUGGUCGUAAG